UCGGUGAUCGCGAGCACGGAAGACUGAAAAGUAGUAAGAGGAAGAAAACAAAACUAAAGGAUGAAAAACAAAAUGGGCACGAUCUCUGUGCAAGCUAAACGAGAGAUGUGGACAAAGCUGAGAAAUGAACAACAACAUGACGAUCUGACAACAGACAGCACACAUGAGGAGACUAAAUAGAGAAGGAGUGAUUAUUAUGAUGCAGAGCAGGUGAUGGUGACCAAUAACAAGAUAAUAAUAAAACAAGAGGUCGGAGACGGGCACCACGGUGACACAGAAGCACAUGAUUCACAAAAGAACAACAAAUGAAACAUCUAUGAUGCCACUGAUGACGUCGUGCAGUUGUUUGUCGUCUAAACUGAAGACAACAGCAGGUCACAUUUAAGACACUUUCAAUAAAGGAUAAAAAAGUUUGUGGUUUACAAAGUAAGUGAAAACAUUCUUUAGUAUGAAGGUGACAAAUUUAACAGAUGUCUUCUUCAAAUGUAUAUGUUUGUGUUGGUGUUUUUGGACAUUUGACAUUUGGGUGUGUAAGGUAAUCCUUACACACCCAAAUGUCAAAUGUCCCAAAACAGGAGAUGUUUAAACCCUGCCAAAGACCUCCAUGAAAGUGUGAGUCAUCAUCUAGCUUUUUGCAGCUUCCGAUGAUCUUGUAGUGAUGCUGAUGAAGAGGGCCACUCAGGGGUCCAGGAUCAUAUAUAGCCUCUCCUUCACUCUUCCCUCUGAAGAAGACACACACAUCAUCCCUGAAUCUUCAGCAUUAAUGGUACGAGUGUAUUCUGUCGCAGAGAUACUCUGAGUAUAUUUACCACACACGACUGGUUCUUGAGGGUGACUCCUUGGAGUGGUUUCUGACGUAGCGUGGCUCAUCAGACGAUCCAGAACAAUCCGAGGCUUGUAGCCAAGUCAACUGUGACUCCAUCAUUGACAGACAUCAAACCAGGUUCAUCAAACAUCAGUGCUUCGUCCCGAGGAUCGGACACACCAUCAUCACAUUACUCCUAAACGCUUCACUGACUGAGAGCCCCAUGUUAAAGCCUUUCAGAUGAUAUAGGUUCCCACAGUGUUCCUGUGACUGAGAAGGUGACGCUUUCAGAUAUUCUUUUAUGUAUUUGUUUCCAAUCAAAUAGGAAAAUGAGUUAUUACA